AGUGAACGCUGGCGGUAGGCCUAACACAUGCAAGUCGAACGGCAGCACAGUAAGAGCUUGCUCUUACGGGUGGCGAGUGGCGGAAGGGUGAGGAAUACAUCGGAAUCUACUUUUUCGUGGGGGCUAACGUAGGGAAACUUACGCUAAUACCGCAUACGACCUCCGGGUGAAAGCAGGGGAUCUUCGGACCUUGCGCGAUUGAAUGAGCCGAUGUCGGAUUAGCUAGUUGGCGGGGUAAAGGCCCACAAAGGCGACGAUCCGUAGCUGGUCUGAGAGGAUGAACAGCCACACUGGAACUGAGACACGGUCCAGACUCCUACGGGAGGCAGCAGUGGGGAAUAUUGGACGAUGGGCGCAAGCCUGAUCCAGCCAUACCGCGUGGGUGAAGAAGGCCUUCGGGUGGUAAAGCCCUUUUGUUGGGAAAGAAAAGCAGCAGGUUAAUACCCCGCUGUUCUGACGGUACCCAAAGAAUAAGCACCGGCUAACUUCGUG
rnacentral:rRNA from 1 species